rnacentral:rRNA from 1 species
GACGAACGCUGGCGGCGUGCUUAACACAUGCAAGUCGAACGGAAAGGCCCUGCUUUUGUGGGGUGCUCGAGUGGCGAACGGGUGAGUAACACGUGAGUAACCUGCCCUUGACUUUGGGAUAACUUCAGGAAACUGGGGCUAAUACCGGAUAGGAGCUCCUGCUGCAUGGUGGGGGUUGGAAAGUUUCGGCGGUUGGGGAUGGUCUCGCGGCUUAUCAGCUUGUUGGUGGGGUAGUGGCUUACCAAGGCUUUGACGGGUAGCCGGCCUGAGAGGGUGACCGGCCACAAUGGGACUAAGAUACGGCCCAGACUCCUACGAGAGGCAGCAGUGGGGAAUAUUGCACAAUGAGCGGAAGCCUGAUGCAGCAACGCCGCGUGCGGGAUGACGGCCUUCGGGUUGUAAACCGCUUUCGCCUGUGACGAAGCGCGAGUGACGGUAAUGGGUAAAGAAGCACCGGCUAACUACGUG